ACUCGCAGGAGCAAGGGGCCCGGCGCGGGCCUCCAGGGCGGGAGGCCCUGACGCGGGGAGGAGGCGGCCGGGCGGCCAAGGGCCUCCCUGGGGAGUGUGCGGAGGCCGGGACGGAGCAGCGCGUAACUAGGGAGAGGAUAGGCCGGGCUGGUGGAGAUGCGGGGAGAGACCAGCCAAAGCUAAAGAGCCAAAGCAAAGGCAACUACAUUGUCGGCACUGCCCUAGGCUCCAGGGCCACAGAGACAACCAUAGCUUCAGCCUCCUGCUCCGAAUGACAUCUCUCAGAAAUCUUCCCUGACUGUCCAGGCGGAAUUAAUGGUUCACUUCCCUGUUCCUCUAUACCUUGAGCAUCCCUCUACAAUUGAAUGCUCCUUCAUUCCAUUUCAUUGCACCAGCAUGUAUCGAGGGUCUACUGUUAUCUAUCGCUGAAGAGAAUGAUUGCAAAAAACUUGAAUGAACAUGGAAAAUGCUGAUGAUCAGAUUUCCAUUGAAAAGAAAGGUGUGCUCCUUGGGGUGGGGGUGUUGUUGUAAUUGUCAGAAAAUGUUUAAUAAAAGAAACAGAAAUAACAAUAAUCUUGUUAGCAUAAUUGUGAGUGAACUUUUGCUCUUUUUUAAUUCUCAAAAAUACCCUAAACAUCAUGUUUCACGGUCUUUACAAAAACACCACCACAGAAACAACAGAAGCCUCCGGGCCUGAGGUGUCAUACUGGGUAUGGCCACAUGGUGUCCCUCCAGCUCAGUCUAAACCUUCCAGACUACAGUCUUCCAACAGUCUCCGCUUCGCCCAGCAGCCGGGGCUAGUCCGAGCCGAGCGAACCCUAAGCUACGGGAACCAGCUUCUUGGUGCUGUCCCAAGAGUGGAGAGGAGACAGAUGAACGUUUCUCAGGCUAGAGGAAGGCGGUUUAUUUGCUUCCAAGGGUUCCAGUAGACAGUUCUGACACGAAAUUUCGUUGUGGAGGGA
rnacentral:lncRNA from 1 species